UACGGGGGGAGCAAGCGUUGUUCGGAUUUACUGGGCGUAAAGCGCGCGUAGGCGGCUUUUCAAGUCGAUUGUGAAAUCCCCGGGCUUAACCUGGGAACUGCAGUCGAGACUGUCUAGCUAGAGUAUGGGAGAGGGAAGUGGAAUUUCAGGUGUAGCGGUGAAAUGCGUAGAUAUCUGAAGGAACAUCAGUGGCGAAAGCGACUUCCUGGACCAAUACUGACGCUCAUGUGCGAAAGCGUGGGGAGCAAACAGG
rnacentral:rRNA from 1 species